rnacentral:sRNA from 1 species
AAGAGAAAAGUGUGAAAAUUCAAGGAAACAAGUGAAAAAAAAGGUGGUGAGUCCUCCGAUAAAGGCAAACAAAUUGCAUCCGAUGACCAGUAGUCAGAGUAUUUCAAAAAUUCACACUCUAAACAUUUGGGCUGAGCUCUAUGGACUAGCUUAUUAGAGGGGCACAGAAUCCUGACAUAUUUAACCUCAGUUGGAGAGGCGAGUAUGGUAACUCCUAAGGCUCAGUAUAGGCUAUAGAUAUCUAAUAUCGUCAAAGGCUACAGUUGGCUUUACUUCUUCAAAAACUUUACUCAGAGGGAAAAU